rnacentral:rRNA from 1 species
CCCUACGGGGGGCAGCAGUGGGGGAUAUUGCACAAUGGGGGAAACCCUGAUGCAGCAACGCCGCGUGAGUGAAGAAGUAUUUCGGUAUGUAAAGCUCUAUCAGCAGGGAAGAAGAUGACGGUACCUGAUUAAGAAGCCCCGGCUAACUACGUACCAGCAGCCGCGGUAAUACGUAGGGGGCAAGCGUUAUCCGGAUUUACUGGGUGUAAAGGGAGCGCAGACGGCAGUGUAAGUCUGGAGUGAAAGCC